UACGAAGGGGGCUAGCGUUGCUCGGAAUCACUGGGCGUAAAGCGCACGUAGGCGGAUCUUUAAGUCAGGGGUGAAAUCCCAAGGCUCAACCUUGGAACUGCCUUUGAUACUGGGGAUCUCGAGUCCGGAAGAGGUUGGUGGAACUGCGAGUGUAGAGGUGAAAUUCGUAGAUAUUCGCAAGAACACCAGUGGCGAAGGCGGCUCACUGGCCCGAUACUGACGCUGAGGCACGAAAGCGUGGGGAGCAAACAGGG
rnacentral:rRNA from 1 species